rnacentral:rRNA from 1 species
CGUGAGUGAUGAAGGCCUUAGGGUCGUAAAACUCUGUCAAGUGGAAAGAACCUGCAAAGUGCUAAUAUCACUUUGCACUGACGGUACCACUGAAGGAAGCACCGGCUAACUCCGUGCCAGCAGCCGCGGUAAUACGGGGGGUGCAAGCGUUAUUCGGAAUUAUUGGGCGUAAAGAGCGCGUAGGCGGUUUUUUAAGUCAGAUGUGAAAGCCCGGGGCUCAACCCUGGAAGUGCAUUUGAAACUGAAGGACUUGAGUAUGGGAGAGGGAAGUGGAAUUCCUGGUGUAGAGGUGAAAUUCGUAGAUAUCAGGAGGAACACCGGUGGCGAAGGCGACUUCCUGGACCAAUACUGACGCUGAGGCGCGAAGGCGUGGGGAGCAAACAGGAUUAGAUACCCUGGUAGUCCACGCAGUAAACGGUGAUCACUAGGUGUAGCGGGUAUUGACCCCUGCUGUGCCGGAGUUAACGCAUUAA